rnacentral:lncRNA from 1 species
CAUCGGUCUUCUACUGCCUCCAGACAUGGACUCAGACUGGAACUUACACCAUUGACUCUCCUGGUUUUCAGACUCAGACUUGAAAUGGAAUUUACACCAUCAGCUUUCCUGGUUCUCAGGCCUUUAGUCUCAGAAUUUAAGUAUACCAUCAGCCUCUUGUGUCUGGACUUCUCAGCCUCCAUAAUCAUAUAAAUUCCAAUACAGAUAGAUGAAGAAGGAGGAGGAGGAAAAGGAGGAGGAAGAGGAAGAAAGUGGGGAAAAGGAAUGAAAGAAUUAAAUGGGAGGCGAUGAUUCAAUCUGUAAUUAAAUCACUUUCACACUUGCUAAGUCUCUAGAUGCAGACAGAAUUUCAAAUAACAGGCUGCAGACUCCAUGAGACAGCCAAAAAACUGAGUCCUUGAGGAGAGCUGCCAGUGGAAUUGAAGAAAGACCACAGGGAGAAGAAAACUUCCAGCUGAACUUUGUAACAAUAUCAACCAAAUGCAAAGUUUCCUGGACAGAAUCCAGGGGAGGGGAUGAACAGGGACUGCAGCUACAAGCACAGAAGCCACAGCAGGUGGGGAGACAUGAAGCCCUGCUUGCUUUC